GUGCACGGUCAUAGCGAUGGUGUUUACCCGGUCCCAUCCCGAACCCGGAAGUCAAGCCCAUCUGCGUCAUUACCGGUACUGUGGUGCGAGAGCCCACGGGAAUGUUUGUCACUGUGCCCC
rnacentral:rRNA from 1 species